GCCCUUGUGCCAGCAGCCGCGGUAAUUCCAGUUUCCAAUAGCGUAUAUUAAAGUUGUUGUGGUUAAGGAGCUCUUAGUUGAACCUUGGGCCUGGCUGGCCGGUCCGCCUCACCGCGUGCACUGGUCCGGCCGGGCCUUUCCCUCUGUGGAACCCCAUACCCUUCACUGGGCGUGGCGGGGAAACAGGACAUUUACUUUGAAAAAAUUAGAGUGCUCCAGGCAGGCCCAUGCUCGAAUACAUUAGCAUGGAAUAAUAAAAUAGGACGCGCGGUUCUAUUUUGUUGGUUUAUAGGACCGCCGUAAUGAUUAAUAGGGACAGUCGGGGGCAUCAGUAUUCAACUGUCAGAGGUGAAAUUCUUGGAUCAGUUGAAGACUAACUACUGCGAAAGCAUUUGCCAAGGAUGUUUUCAUUAAUCAGGAACGAAAGUUAGGGGGAUCGAAGACGAUCAGAUACCGUCGUAGUCUUAACCAUAAACUAUGCCGACUAGGGGAUCGGACGGGGUUAUUCAUGACCUGUUCGGCACCUUUACGAGAAAAUCAAAGUGCUUUGGGCUCCAGGGGGGAGUAUGUCCGCAAGGCUUGAAACUUAAAGAAUUGACGGAGGGGCACCACCAGGGGUGGAGCCCUGCGGCUUUAUUUUGACUCACACGGGAAACUCACCAGGUCAGGACACAAUAAA
rnacentral:rRNA from 1 species